rnacentral:rRNA from 1 species
GAUGAACGCUGGCGGCGUGCCUAAUACAUGCAAGUCGAGCGAACGGACGAGGAGCUUGCUUCUCUGAUGUUAGCGGCGGACGGGUGAGUAACACGUGGAUAACCUACCUAUAAGACUGGGAUAACUUCGGGAAACCGUAGCUAAUACCGGAUAAUAUUUUGAACCGCAUGGUUCAAAAGUGAAAGACGGUCUUGCUGUCACUUAUAGAUGGAUCCGCGCUGCAUUAGCUAGUUGGUAAGGUAACGGCUUACCAAGGCAACGAUGCAUAGCCGACCUGAGAGGGUGAUCGGCCACACUGGAACUGAGACACGGUCCAGACUCCUACGGGAGGCAGCAGUAGGGAAUCGUCCGCAAUGGGCGAAAGCCUGACGGAGCAACGCCGCGUGAGUGAUGAAGGUCUUCGGAUCGUAAAACUCUGUUAUUAGGGAAGAACAUAUGUGUAAGUAACUGUGCACAUCUUGACGGUACCUAAUCAGAAAGCCACGGCUAACUACGUG